UGAGUGGAAACCAAUUAAUUGGUUCCUAGCUGUUAAUUAGGAUUAAGUGAAAUGUUCACCCAUUCAA
rnacentral:tRNA from 1 species